GUGGCUGAGUUGUUGGUUGAGGUGAGGUGGUUUGUGGCCGAGUUGUUGGUUGAGGUUUAGUUGUAUUUGACUGAGUUAUUUGAGCUUCAGUGGUAACUGGAUGAGUUGUUGGCUUUGCUGUUGGCAAAAGAUGUACAAUAAAUAAACACAGGCUCACAGCGUAAAAUAUUCGCUAGCAAAAGUCGGAAACAUUCAAUUUUGGAGGAAAAGACUUCUUGAAGAAACGCCAAUAGUGCUACAAUGGGGAUGGCUGAUAUCGUCAUUUUUUUCUUUAUCGAAUUUUAUAUAAACUUUAAAGAUAUAUUUUCUUUUCCAGCAAUCUAUUUUCUGAUUCGGAGUUUACUUUGCUUUUCCUCAGUUUCGCAAUUGGUAAAAAGUAAUCAGAUGACGCGAUGUACACUGCGCAUUACUUUACAAAUCAUAAUAGUUCACUAGUAGAGUGCAAACACUUAAACCAUGGAAAAMUUCAGUAAUGAGAUGCAUAAAAAGGUAGUUUGAUCUACCAAUAAUAACUCKUGAAAAUUUCUUAAUGAAUUAGGUUUUGUCAGUAUCGCCUUAUGCAGAAAGUGAUGUCACUCAACUUACAUGGAGCUUGCGUCCUCUUGCACCUGUACAUUUUGCAGAUCUUCUCGCCAGGGAUCUAUAUCAGGAAGAAAAGGUAAUUUUAAGAAACAGAUGCAAACGGAGGACCUCUCUGUUGCCAUGACAGACAAGACCAUGUGACAAAGAAUAGUCUCAAGUUGCUACAGCCAGCCGAUGAAGGUUUAUUGUGUACAUUCAUUGGAAUUGCUGCUGGUGAAAAUGUACUCAUAAUGUUUGAAUAAUCUAAAGAGGACACGAAGAA